AUUACCCAUUCUCAGGAUGAAAAAGCAAGUCCUUUUCCAAAUUAGCCAGAAGAGAAUGCCUUUGUUUGUUUGUUUAACUACCUUAUGAAUCAUAAGCAUCCAGGAUAGUUUUAUUAAGGCCUCCGGUUUCCCGUGCCCAAGGCCUGCUCUCAAAGCCAGACUCACCUGGAGGUGGACACUGGCGGGCUUCAGUAUUUAAAGAAAAUCAAUAGCAAGGACUGAAAAGGUUUAUCAACAACAUUCGACAGACGUGAAGGAAUGCUCAGGCCCUUGUUUUUUUUUCCACAACGAGUCAGAAAUACGAAGGAUAAGAUUUCUGGUUUAGAUUUAGAUCCCUUAGUGGGACUUAACUAGGAGAAACAGAGCAGCUACUACUGCCAGCAUGAACUCGCAGGAAUGACGCAGCUGGCAGCAGGCUUUCUUCAGGUACUGAAAUGCUCAAUUAGGUCACCCUGAAAUCUUCUCUUCUCCAGGCUGAACAAUCCCAAUCCUCUCAGCCUUUCCUGGAAGAGACAUUGCCGUUGAAGACUGAGGGAAAAAAGUUGCUAAGUACCUCAGCCUUCUCCUCAUCCAUUGUAACCCAUUUUCCAGCAUUGUGUGUUGGACACAGUUUUCUGGUUCACAUGGUGUCUCUUCAUCCAGGUUUGGACAAGGCAUUCCAUUAUUGGCAGGCUGAAGAAGCACAAAACGAGUUCUGAUCUUGGUCCCUGUUUCUCUGCAAACGCCUCUGCAGAGACCCCAGGAAGACCAUUGGGAAACCUCACAGUCCAGGGGUGUUUCUGCAGUACACACAACAAAAACGUAAUUUUACAUGAAGCUGUACUUGAGUCAAAUACACAGUUGAAAAAGCAUUAAGGAAUUAUGAUCAAAUAGCAUCCUUUCUUAUACAAAAAAUACAUGUGAUAGUAAUAAAAUCCAUAUGUUGUCUCUUAAAAUAAAUAAAGGUCUGGUUUCAUCUCCUAAGCUCAUGAACAAUGAUAUUAUUGUUAUUGCAAUCUAGAGCAUGUCUGAGAUAUUAUAUCAGUAGUGCAGCAUAUUAUCUAUUGAAUUGAAACUACAGAAUUCCUUUAAAAGAAAACUAUGCUUGAAAUAAUUGCACCCAAAAGACUGAAUUAAAAAACAUUUACUGUCAAUUUUAUAACUCAUUUGCCUUUUCAUGGCUUACUAGAAACGCUGAGAUUAAAGCUUUUCUCUGGUUUGUUUGGAUAUAUUUAUAUUUCUUAGCUAUUGUUCCUAUAGUUGGUCAUAUCGAAUUCCAUUUUAAUUUUAUUACAAUUUUGCUUCAGAAAUAAAGAAAAGUCCCAUUUCUUACAUUAAAUCAUCUUACUAUUGUUUGGUGUGUAUACUACUCCCCCUUUUGCCAAUAAAGAUGUUCUGUCACUGUAAGCUUUCUAAUACUAAAAGGGGUUUCAGUAUAAUUUGCCUCAGGAAAAGAAAUUAGAAACUCUAAAGUACUUUGCACAAUGUAUGCUUCUGGUGAAAAUAUCUCUCAUAAAAGCAUGACUGAGUAUUCCUUAGCAGGUUACAUUAAAAUAUUGCUUGUCACAGGAAGUUGCAUCAACACUUCCUGUUACAGCAUUUGCAGGUAAAAUAGGUGUGCACAAAACCAUCUUUAAAUGCCACACUAAGUGUGUGACACCUGGUAUAAAUUUCUGGCAUUACAGUGAACUCACCACUUCUGCUGUCAUCAGUCAUUCCUGUUUCUAGAAGGAAUGAGGGACACAGCUUGACCUCUGGUAGUUAAAUCUGUCCUUUUGAUUCUGGAAUACGUUUUUAAGCAGACUGAUUUACUGGUGAGCAUACAAUAAAGUGGGGAUUUGUGAUUAAAAAGUAAUUUUGAAAUGCCAUACUUUAAAUGCAUUGUUUUAAAUUUAUACCCUAAAGAGGGCCAAAUGUUCAUUUUGAAUGCUGUGGGACAGACAUAACUGCAAAUGAGAUAUGUGGCAGUCACUUUGGAUGUGUCUUGUUUACUAACAGAAGUACAUUAA